CGCGGCCUAUCAGCUUGUUGGUGGGGUAACGGCCUACCAAGGCGACGACGGGUAGCCGGCCUGAGAGGGCGACCGGCCACACUGGGACUGAGACACGGCCCAGACUCCUACGGGAGGCAGCAGUGGGGAAUAUCGCGCAAUGGGCGGAAGCCUGACGCAGCGACGCCGCGUGGGGGAUGAAGGCCCUCGGGUUGUAAACCCCUUUCAGCAGGGACGAAGCGCAAGUGACGGUACCUGCAGAAGAAGCGCCGGCUAACUACGUGCCAGCAGCCGCGGUAACACGUAGGGCGCAAGCGUUGUCCGGAAUUAUUGGGCGUAAAGAGCUCGUAGGUGGUCUGUUGCGUCCGCUGUGAAAUCUCAGGGCUUAACCCUGAGCCUGCAGUGGAUACGGGCAGACUAGAGGUAGGUAGGGGAGAAUGGAAUUCCUGGUGUAGCGGUGAAAUGCGCAGAUAUCAGGAGGAACACCGGUGGCGAAGGCGGUUCUCUGGGCCUUACCUGACACUGAGGAGCGAAAGCGUGGGGAGCGAACAGGAUUAGAUACCCUGGUAGUCCACGCCGUAAACGUUGGGCGCUAGGUGUGGGAUCCUUCCACGGAUUCCGUGCCGCAGCUAACGCAUUAAGCGCCCCGCCUGGGGAG
rnacentral:rRNA from 1 species